rnacentral:tRNA from 2 species
AGCGGGGUAGAGUAAUUGGUCAACUCGUCAGGCUCAUGAUCUGAAGAUCCGGGUUCGAAUCCCAGCUCCGCCA